UACGGGGGGGGCAAGCGUUGUUCGGAAUUACUGGGCGUAAAGGGCUCGUAGGCGGCCAACUAAGUCGGAUGUGAAAUCCCCAGGCUCAACCUGGGAACUGCAUCCGAUACUGGAUGGCUUGAAUUCGGGAGAGGGAUGCAGAAUUCCAGGUGUAGCGGUGAAAUGCGUAGAUAUCUGGAGGAAUACCGGUGGCGAAGGCGGCAUCCUGGACCGACAUUGACGCUGAGACGCGAAAGCGUGGGGAGCGAACAGG
rnacentral:rRNA from 1 species